CAAAGCGGGUGCGUGUGUCAGAACCUGAGCUGUUGGUUCACGCCUCUGAGCAACUCCUUUGACUUUUUCCCUAGAUGUUUAGCGAUUAAGGAGUUUUUUUCGAAGCCCAAGUACAACCACAUUUUGAAGCCAGAAGACUGUCUGAACCGUGCACCAUCCUGCAGCUGGACACGAGAACCGUGCAGAUCACUGACCUGGAGACCGUGGAAGGCGAGCUGCACUUUGAGAUCAGGAAGGCCGGCACGCUGCAUGGAUUCACAGCCUGGUUCAGUGUCCGGUUCCAGAGCCUGGAGGAGGAGGAGCCGCAGCUGGUGCCAAGCACAGGCCCGUUUCACCCAACCACCCACUGGAAGCAGGUGCUGUUUAUGAUGGACGAGCCCGUGUCCGUGCUCUCGGGAGAUGUGAUCACAGGCUCGGUUGUGCUGCAGAGAAACCCCGUGUGGAGGAGGCACAUGUCCGUGGCGCUCAGCUGGUCCGUCACUUCCACACAAGACCCCACAUCGCAGAAAGUUGGAGAGAAGGUCUUUCCCAUCUGGAGAUGAUGGUGAAGUUGUGGGAGGCAGGUGCUGCAGGAACGAGCCCGGGCGGAGAUGCGCUUGGAUGUGAGCCCCCGUUCCUGUGGCCCGUGAGCUCCCCUGCCCGGCGGCGGGACACCCGUGUGCGUGUGCGCUCCCUUCCUCGGGGCCUCCACAGGCGCCGCGUGGGGCUCGGCUGGGACCCCUCACCCCUGUCACUGCCCGUGUCUGUGCUCUAGAAGUAGGCUAUGUCCCCAGGUGUCCACAGUCUGGCUCGUGGCCGAGUCGGUGGCACCGUGUCCCUAAGCUAGGUCUAGACCUCAACUCGUAGGGCACACGCGCAUCAACCUCGUACUCCUGUGAAAGUGGCUGUUCACGCAUCAUGUGUCAUGGUGUCCUUGCUGCCUGGGUCCCUCCCUGUCGUGCGAAGGUGGGUGCCCCAAAGCCGUGCAGGGCCUGGAGGCGGCGAUGCAUGUGACGGGACUCUGCAUGGAUAGUACAGUCGUAGAGAUGUCUUCCACGUAAAUUAUGUGUUGGCGCAUAGCACAUACUCAAUAAAUGUUUUUAAAGAAA